AUUGUGAACANCUCGACACCCCAACCACUGCUAGUCGAAAACACCGCUGGUGACACCGACCGUCGCCGUUGACAGAGGUUUCACCAACGCACUCGUCUUCGUUUUUUUUUUUUUUUUACUUCUCCACACGAGUCCAUCGUCCACCAUGAAUGCGAGGCCAAACUCUAGGUUGGGGUUUCUCUCUUCACGGCGCCGCUGCCCUAGUCGCCGCCCAAGGCGUUGCCAGAGNCGCCGUUCACCGUNGGCGCCCUUGCCGGCCAGAGCCCAAAGCUACCCUUCUCUCCCUCUGAUCCAACGCGACCCAGAAGUUGAGGGUAGGGGUCAUGAUAUGUGAAUAGAGAUAGGAAAUAUGGUGGAGAUGGAGGUUAUGAAGUGAGGUUCUGUUUCUGUUUUGGUUCUCUGUUUUUGGUUGGUCAUACAACAAUGGUGGAAUGGUUGUUGGUGUUGACAGAGAAUGGAGAGGGAUUGGGCGGAGGCUAUCCAGUGAGUGGUUGAAGCAAUGAAGCGUAGUCGAUGAUGAUGAAUACCGCGGUGGUGAUGAGGAUGAAGGUGUGGAUUGUGUGUGUUGCGUGAUAGUUACCUGAUGAAGGAAUUGGUUUCUGAGAGUCUUUCUAUUGAGUAAAAUGGAGGAAUGAAUGGAUNNAGGUAGUUUUUUCUUGAGCAUAGCAGAGGGAUNGAGCCAAAAAGGGUGGUGUCGUGUGUGUCAUCAAUUCUGUUGGGUCCUGAGGUGUAGUGAGGAUGAUGGCAUUUGGCUGGCGUGAUGAAGCCUGGUGUGGCAUGAGUGAUGAUUCUGUUAAGGUGGAGGAUGGAUUGAGAAUUGGUGAGUCCGAGAGGAAUUGUCUGUUGUGCCUCUUCCAUCCAUCAACAUUCUGUUUUGCCUCUCACGAAUAGAUCACGUUGCCCUUUUCUUUUUUUU